UACGGGGGGGGCAAGCGUUGUUCGGAAUUACUGGGCGUAAAGGGCUCGUAGGCGGCCCUCUCAGUCGGAUGUGAAAUCCCCAGGCUUAACCUGGGAACGGCAUCCGAUACUGGAGGGCUUGAAUUCGGGAGAGGGAUGCAGAAUUCCAGGUGUAGCGGUGAAAUGCGUAGAUAUCUGGAGGAAUACCGGUGGCGAAGGCGGCAUCCUGGACCGAGAUUGACGCUGAGGAGCGAAAGCCAGGGGAGCAAACGGG
rnacentral:rRNA from 1 species